UCUGUUCAAGUGUAACCUACCUGGCCAAUACAAAUACUCAACAGAUUGUGGUCCCAUGCAAAAAUUCUCCCAACAUCCCGAUUUUUUUGUUGACAACUACAUUCUUCCGGUCAUCAAUGCUGUGUACUCGUUCGCUGCUGCGGUCCAAGAUACGUUAGUUAUACAAUGUGGUGAAGAUUACAACGAUGUGUGUGCCAAGUUCUACUCAGAUCCGAACACUAACACAAUAUUGUUGAACCGAAUGCGUGAAUUAAGCUACAUAGACACGAGUGGUAAUCAGUUUGGUUUUACCGGGAAGGAGGGUAACACUGGAAGAGAGAUUGUUCUGUUUGAUGGUGUAGAGCUGAAGAAAGUGGCCGACUUCGCUGGUGCAUCCUUGAACGUUCUGGACAGAAAUCUACGUAACAUGUUUGAGAGCACGAAAUCCUCGUGCACACCACCAUGUACACAAUGUAUCAACAAUAACAUGAACUUCACCUUCACUCCUGGAGAUAUCAUGCUGGGAGGUAUAUUUGACGUACAUGAAAGUGCUUUGACUCCAUUCUCGUGUGGUAACAUCAAUACACUACGUGGAUACCAGCUUCUAGAAGCUUUCCAUUUUGCUAUUGAUAAAGUCAAUGAUAAAUCUGGACAGUUUGCUGAUGUACUGAAAAAUAUCAAACUUGGAGGUCUUGGCUUGGAUGCGUGUCAGAGUGCUGUCAAGGGAGGCUACCUCGUGUCUAAUCUUCACAGCGGAUUGACUGCCCUUGAAAGAGAUGGUAUUACCGUCAACCCAGACACGAUUGAAGCCUACAUUGGUUCAUACUCCAGUGGAAACUCUAUACAUUUAGCAAGACUGAUGAAAUCUCUCAAAAUCCCUCAAGUCAGUUUUGGGGCAUCUUCUGUUGCAUUGCUAGAUAGUGAUCGCUAUCCGUACUUCCUGCGUACAGUACCAGCAGACGACAGACAGGCUAUGGGUAUGAUUGAGUUCCUGAGAAGGUAUGACAUCCGAUAUGUUCAAGUUAUACAUACUGCUGAUAACUAUGGUGAACAAGGUGCAGCAAUCUUCAAUAAGCUCGCUUUCCAAAACAAAGUGUGUGUCUCUCAAACAGUCUCUUUCCUUCCUCAGAGCGCAGUCACUGUUGAAAAUGCCAACGAUGUUGUCCUUGCCCUUCUCAAGAAGCCAGUUGCUAACACCGUUGUAGUAUUUGCUGACACAGCUUACAUAAAUGAACUUCUGCAUGCAAUCAGAAGAAAUCCUGAUGCACAUGGAAAGUUCCGAUUUGUUGGCUCAGAAACUUGGGCCAMCAAUAAUGAAGCUAUUGAAGGGGUGGAAGAUAUCGCCGUUACCUCAGUAACAGUUGAUUUAGAUAUUGUUGACAUCCGUGAAUUUGAUGAGUACCUUACAACAAAAACCCCGGCUAACUAUCCGGAGAAUCCCUGGUUUCCAGAAUAUUACGAGGAGAUACAAAACUGUUACCUUACCAUCCCUGAUACUCGCUUCCCAGGCAGAUGUUCAGCCUCGCCAAAAAAUAUUGUGACAUCCAAGAGGUACAAACAAGACACAGCUCUCAUCCAUGUUAUCAAUGCUGUAUACUCAUCAGCAUAUGGCCUUGACCUUGCUUUGAGAGAGGAGUGUGGAGAUAAUUACACUACUGUUUGUGAAGCAUUCAAAAAUCGGGACAAUAGAAGAGAAUUUGUUCUUGAACAAAUACAAAAAGCAAGUUUUGUGGAUCUUUCUGGUCAGCCAUUUAGUUUCUCAGACAGGGGUGAUGGCAAUAAGGGAUAUGUGAUGUACUCAAUUGAUUCAUCGAAUGUCGAGGGAUACACUUACAACCCGAUUGCCAAGUACUCUAGUGAUGGACAUCUAACUAUGACUUCAUCAACAUAUUCACCAAGCUGGGAUGGAAGUUGUGAUAGAAAGGAUUCGUGUACAGAAUGCCCAACUAUUAGAAAUCUACUUACAAGAUACAUGCUGCCUGAUUAUUUGACUAGCGCCAUACAAGCAGAUCCUGCUACACUCAUAUUUGUUCUUGACAUCCAUGAGCGUGGAACCGAUGAGUAUGUUUGUGGAGAAAUGAACAUGCGUGAAAUGAUGCAAGCUUUGUCUGUAGUGUAUGUUCUGGAGCAAGCCAACCUAAUCGGAUCCCCAUUUAAAAUCAGACCCUUAAUCCUUGAUAAUUGUAAUAAUGCUCUAAGAAUUGAUCAAGAUCUUUUCAACUUACUGACAACCSGAAAGCUGUGUAAUGCUCCAUUCGAUUCAGAUCAAAGUAUCAUUGAUGUAAGCUCGAUCAUGGGUGUCAUGACACGGGGAUCACGUUUUGUUGCUGCUGCUAAUCGUGUCRCAGCUCCAAUGAAAAUUCAGCUAAUGAGCUCCUCAGCAUCAUCAUCGGCCCUGAGUGAUCAAUGGAGAUAUCCAUACUUUGCCCGUACUGUUCCCCCAGAUAGCCAAAUGAUGGAAGUUAUUGCAAAGAUUCUGCUUGCAAACGGCUGGAGUUAUGUUGGUGUUGUGUACACUACAGAAAGCUAUGGUAUCAAUGGUUACCGAGCCUUGCAGUCAACCAUUAAUGAAGGUCUAUACUCCUGCAUUGGAUAUGCUGAAGGAGUUAACGUAGGUGCUUCUGUUGAUGAAAUACGGCCUGUUAUUCGUCGUGUUGCUAACACAGAAGGUAUAGGUGUUAUUGUUCUACUUGUGACCAAUCCUAGACCCAUACUGGAGGCUAUCAAAGCUGAAGGUCUGGCUGAUCGGUUUGUUGUGAUCGGCACCGAUUCUUGGGCCGAUUAUUCUACAGUUGUAGAAGACAUGGCUAAAGAUUUUGCUGGUUCCAUUACUAUUGGAUUUAGGAACGCCUACUUUGAUGAUUUCACUGCCUGGAUGAAACGCCUUAGAAUGAGUAACAAGUUGGGAAUUCCUGAUGACUGGUUUGAUGAAUUUUAUCAAAAUCUUCAUGAAUGCUAUCUUACAGACUCUCCUGCUCGAAGCAAUAAAUAUAGUGAUCCAUGUAAGGGAUUCRCAAGCGAUGGAAACGAUCAAGGUGACAUAGUCAGUGACGAUAAAGUAGAAAAAUACGGACCUCUUCUUCUGACAACUGCAGCAGCAUAUGCCUUGGGGAAUGGUUUGAAUGACUUUCACAGAGUGUAUGGCUGUGCUGAUCAAUCAUUCGCUGAAUGUAUGAACAGGAUAGAUAACUCACGGGAUAUCCUGUUUAACUACACUCUCAGUCAGACCUGGAGUAUCAGCCCAGCAGAUGUAACUCCCAGGGAUACAUUUAACCUUGAGUUAGGAACGGAUCGAUACUGGGAUGUUGGAAGCACUAUCUAUUCUCUGCUCAGAGAUAACACUUAUAAAGGAUUGGAAGCCAGUCCAAUUCUGGUGGAUUUGUCUUCAAUAAAGAUGAUGAUUAUGAUAACAAUCGACCUGGUAUCAUGUCUAAAUGUCCGGAGGAUCAGUUCUGUGAUUGUGCUAUCAAUGAUGAUGGCUUGACCAUGAAACAGACUCGACCAAAGUACAUGAGAGAUCAUGAACCAAGGAAUUACUUCAUGUACGAUGAAGAAACUGGUGAACAAGUUUAUGAUUGGCCAAUCUGGGCGAUUGCUGUUGCCGUGCUUACAUGUAUCGGUCUUCUCGUUGGACUCAUCCUAUUCUUCUACUUCCUCAUCUUCUACCCGGUCCGUGGUGGAACUACCGUGCUUGGUUUCUUAAUGAUGCUCGGACUGUUUGGUGUGUACGCCAUCAACUUCGCCUUCUUCUUACCUGCCGCCGAAGCCACUUGUGGUGCCAGACAGUUCUUAUUGGGAGUUGUGUAUACAGUUGUAUUUGCCCCAUUAUUUGUGAAAGCAGUAGACAAUUGGCGCUUCANGGACAUAGAGUAUAGUCCUCAACGUUACAUAGGACUUACAAAUCCCAUAGCCCUUGUGCUUAUUGCACUGGGCAUUAUUUUAGUUCAGUGUGUAAUUCCUAUUGAAUGGUUGAUACUACGACAUCCAUCAGCCAGCAUGAUGGAGGACUCGAUGUAUCAACAUGAUUGGAUGUGGUGCGACCCGCAUGACUUCUACGACAUCUCCAUGGUGCUGUCCAUGGUAUUUGUUGUGUUCCUCGUCAUCUUGACGGCCAUCUUCUCUGCACUGGCUUGGGACAGCGAGAGCAAUUAUUUUGAGUCGCGGUGGAUAUUUGUAUCGUGUGUAUGUACAGCUGGUUGUAUGAUGGUGUGGAUGGUGGUGUCAACCAAUGCAGGACCACCAUACAGAGAUCCAUCUAUAGCUAUUGCUAAUUUUGUCAAUGCUACCGCAUUGCUAAUCAUCAUACCACUGARAAAGCUGGUCCUUUUAAUACAGUUUUCAUCSGARGAGGARAAAGCCAAAACAAUGCCGUCAGAUGAGGUUGAUACAAACAAUGAGUUGUAUUCCACUGUAUACACCAWNCAGAUGUAUCMAGCUGAUGUAUUCCAACCUGAAUCUAAACCUAACUCUGAGGCCGGAUAUUAAAGCUUCCNAAAGACMCNAAGUAACCUUAAAUACUCAAAUAAACUCUAUCUGUGAGAGGACACAAGAUACAAGCCAAAUCGUACCAAUUUGCAGUUGUUGAAUGUAGUGAUAUGUAAUGUUAGAACUGUCCUAGAGUGUGUUAAACAACUCCAAACAACUUCAAUUACAUAUUUUAACAUAGUUCUGGGAUAAAAGCUGAAACCAUCUACCUGCUUCUUUAUUUAAAAGCAUUUAGACUGAUUUGACUUUUACUUCUCAACUUUAUGAUGUAUGCUCUAUAAAUUGUUAAUUAAAGUCCAGAGAAGUUCGUAGAAUAAAUAAAUAACCUGUUAAGAGUAAUCUUGGUGGCUUGCGUGCCAAUAACUUUGCCUCUGUUAUUAUGACAUACAAUUUUGUGAUUUAUAUAUUAUUGAUGCUAUUUUAACAUGUGAUGGUUUAUAUUAUCUAAACUUAGCGCCUAUAUGCAACUUACUGUGGUUAGCUUUUCGGGCGUAUAAACAAUGCUACUCUGCAAUUACAUAAGAGACUUUACCGCAAUGUAUGUAAGUCUUAUUUUUAAAAGAAGAAAUUAUAAAAGUGACAAGAUCUAUAGAUACAUGUAUAUUACUGUGUAUAAGUGCUAUUUUGUAUGAUUGUUGAUUUUACAUAAAACACCACUGUGAUUUCAUUCUCCCUUAUUUAUCAAUGAUGUUUAAUUAUGUAACCUAAUGCCUCAAGGUAUAAAAUGGUCUUUAUAUUUYUCAUCUAACCUUAACAAUAACGGUUAUUNUGUUAGAGGUAUGUAAAAUAAGGUUGUUAUUCUUGAUAUGAUGAUCACUUAAUAUCAAUUAGGGGUUCGACUUUGUUAAUUAGUUUUAAAGGUCUAAGAUGGCCUCUCUCUUUUGUAAACUUACUCAAGGAGCUAUCAUUGGAUGAAUCCAUCAAAAUGUACAUCAAAUCAAACUGAAGAAGUCUUUUAAUUAUCUGUUUCCAGUAAUGUGUAUAAGACACUAUGUAAGCUGUCAGAGCUCCAAAAGGAAUGAGUUAAAAACAUUUUUUGGUUAUCAAAGAUUUGAAAGUUGAAAGUUCAUGCAUUUCAAAUGCUAGUUUUCAUAUUAGUUCCCAUCCCUAUGUAAUACCCAAUAUGGUAGUUACAUCCUUUCCCAAUGGUGUGUGUGGAUGACGUGUGACUGUUGGCGAGAAUUUAUAGUGCUUAAAUUUUGUAUGAUAUUUGCUUUAUUUUUGUACGACCCAAUUUAUAGUUAUAUUUUUUGUCUCUGAGAUUGUAUAUAUUUGUUAAAGAGAUGUAUGUGAAUAUUUCCCAGUUUUCACUAUAAUACAAUUUAUAUAUUGCCAUUUAGAAAAAGUGACAAAUAAACUCUUGUAUAUUUGUAAAAAAAAAAAAAAAAAAAAAAA
rnacentral:sRNA from 1 species